GCAAGGGCGGGGGCCCGGCGGGAGGAGGAGGAGGGGGCGGCGGCGGCGGCUGCGGAUGGGCCAGCCCGUUGGCCACAGUAGCCAUGAUGGGCUCUGCCCCGCCCCGGGAGGAAGGCCAGGAGGAGGAGGAGGAGGAGGAGGAGGCAAGGGGGGUGACGUCACUGGGCUGUUCCCCUCCCCGCACACACCUCCCGCCCUCCCAAACCUCGCAAGAGGUAUUUGCAUAAAAAAAGAGCUCCAGCCAAUAGGGUGGGCGGGAAUCAAAGGGGGCGGGGCCAAGUGUAGGCAUAAAGGGAGGCAGAAGGGAUCCCUCUCCUCAGCCCAGGACACCAAUCAAAGCCCUCCCGACAGAGCGCCGUCCCGCCCCGGCUUCAAAAGCCACCGGAGGGAUCGAAAACAUCUAGUCCAACCAGUUUCCAAACAAUAUUUAUAUUUAUUUAUUUAUUUACUACAUUUAUAUCCCGCUCUUCUCAACCCGAAAGGGAAUCAGAGCAGCUUACAAAUCGAAUGAACAUACAAUAUAUUAUUAGCACAGCACUAUAUAAGCAUUACAUUACUAUAUUGUACUAUAUCAUUAUAUUUAUUUAUUUAUUACAUUUAUAUCCCGCUCUUCUCGCCCCGAAAGGGACUCAGAGCGGCUUACAAAUCAAAUGAACAUACAAUAUAUUAUUAGCACAGCACAAUAUAAGAAUUAAAUUACUAUAUUGUACUAUAUCAUUAUAUUUAUUUAUUUAUUUAUUUACUACAUUUAUAUCCCGCUCUUCUCACCCCGAAAGGGAAUCAGAGCAGCUUACAAAUCGAAUAAACAUACAAUAUAUUAUUAGCACAGCACAAUAUAAGCAUUAAAGUACUAUAUUGUACUAAAUCAUUAUAUUUAUUUAUUUACUUACUACAUUUAUAUCCCGCUCUUCUCACCCCGAAAGGGAAUCAGAGCAGCUUAUAAAUCAAAUGAACAUACAAUAUAUUAUUAGCAUAGCACAAUAUAAAGCAUUAAAUUAAUAUAGUGUACUAUAUCAUUAUAUGGUAAUAUUAUUAGUAAUAUUACAUUUAAUAUAUAAUAUAUAAUUAAUAUUAUUAUAUCGUAUUACAGUAGAGUCUCACUUAUCCAGCACUCGCUUAUCCAACGUUCUGGAUUAUCCAGCGCAUUUUUGGAGUCAAUGGUUUCAAUACAUUGUGAUAUUUUGGUGCUAAAUUUGUAAAUACAGUAAUUACUACAUAGCAUUACUGCAUAUUGAACUACUUUUUCUGUCAAAUUUGUUAUAUAACAUGAUGUUUUGGUGCUUAAUUUGUAAAAUCAUAACCUAAUUUGAUAUUUAAUAGGCUUUUCCUUAAUCCCUCCUUAUUAUCCAACAUAUUCGCUUAUCCAACGUUCUGCCAGCCCGUUUACGUUGGAUAAGUGUGACUCUACUGUAUUACAUUUAUUAUUUUUCUCUAUUAUUGUUGCUACUAUUACAUUUAUUUUACUCUAUUUUUAUUAUUAUUAAUACAUGUAUUAUUUUACUCUGAUCUUAUUAUUAUUAUUGCAUUUAUUAUAUUACUCUUUUUACUAUUACAUGUAUUAUUUUCCUGUAUUUAUUAUUAUUAUUACAUGUAUUAUUUUACUCUAUUAUUAUUAAAAGGAUACAUAAGCACAUUUACAUUGAAGAAGAUGGGAAUCAUGAUUUGAUCAGAGUUGGACAGUCUUAUCUUAAAUUUGAGCUUUAUCCCUCCAGUGACUGGAAUAGAUAAAAACCGCUGCUCUGCAUCCAAUUUCCUGCAGGAUAUAAGACGCGCUCCGCCUUGUAAAAUGAAGGGGAAUGUGGGAAAUGCAAUCGUGACAUCUCCUAUUAGUUGAAAAGAAAGGACCAAUGCACAGGAGACUUCCAGGCCUCCAAGUCCUCGCAGGAGGUCUCCAGGGCUGUGCAAUCUUCAUCUUCCUUGGCAAGUCUAAUAAAAGACAUCAUAAUUACUCUA